rnacentral:rRNA from 1 species
GAUGAACGCUGGCGGCGUGCCUAAUACAUGCAAGUCGAGCGAACAGAUGAGGAGCUUGCUCCUCUGACGUUAGCGGCGGACGGGUGAGUAACACGUGGAUAACCUACCUAUAAGACUGGGAUCAUUUCGGGAAACCGGAGCUAAUACCGGAUAAUCUAUUGAAUCGCAUGGUUCAAUAGUGAAAGACGGUUUUGCUGUCACUUAUAGAUGGAUCCGCGCCGCAUUAGCUAGUUGGUAAGGUAACGGCUUACCAAGGCAACGAUGCGUAGCCGACCUGAGAGACUGAUCGGCCACACUGGAACUGGGACGCGGUCCAGACGCCUACGGGAGGCAGCAGUAGGGAAUCUUCCGCAAUGGUCGAGAGCCUUACGGAGCAACGCCGCGUGAGAGAUGAAGGUCUUCGGAUCGUAAAGCUCUGUUAUUAGGGAAAAACAAAUGUGUAAGUAACUAUGCACGUCUUGACGGUACCUAAUCAGAAAGCCACGGCUAACUACGUG